rnacentral:rRNA from 1 species
UUAAGAAUCUUGCACAAUGGGCGCAAGCCUGAUGCAGCGACGCCGCGUGAAUGAUGAAGGCCUUCGGGUUGUAAAGUUCGGUAAGCAGGGAAGAAUAAGCACCGGGUAAUAUUCGGUGUGAUGACGGUACCUGCCUAAAGCCCCGGCUAACUACGUGCCAGCAGCCGCGGUAAUACGUAUGGGGCGAGCGUUGUUCGGCAUUAUUGGGCGUAAAGGGCGUCUAGGCGGGAAAUUAAGUUAGGUGUGAAAGCUAUGGGCUCAACCCAUAAACUGCAUCUAAAACUGAUUUUCUGGAGUUCGGGAGAGGAGAGCGGAAUUCCAGGUGUAGCGGUGAAAUGCGUAGAUAUCUGGAAGAACACCAGUGGCGAAGGCGGCUCUCUGGCCUAGAACUGACGCUGAAGCGCGAAAGCGUGGGGAGCGAACA